rnacentral:rRNA from 1 species
UGUAAGCGUAUACCAAAGUUGUUGCAGUUAAAACGCUCGUAGUCGGAAUUUGGCAGUUCCGGAUGUGUGCACGUCGUGUGCGCACUUCGCGGGGAUUGCUUUUGUGGUCUUGCGUAGGAUGAGGCACUUUUAUUAGUGAACGUCCUCACGCAACCACUUUUUACUGUGAGAAAAUCAGAGUGCUCAAAGCAGGCAUUUGCCGUGAAUGUAUUAGCAUGGAAUAAUGGAAUAGGACUUGGUUCUAUUUUGUUGGUUUGUUGGGACUGAGUAAUGAUUAAGAGGGACAGUUGGGGGCAUUUGUAUUUCGGUGCUAGAGGUGAAAUUCUUAGAUUACCGAAAGACAAACUGCUGCGAAAGCGUCUGCCAAGGAUGUUUUCAUUGA